rnacentral:rRNA from 1 species
ACAAGCGGAGGAGCAUGUGGUUAAUUUCGAUGAUACGCGAGGAACUUACCUGGGCUCGAACGUAAGAUGACUGUAGGUGAAAGCUUACAUCUCUUCGGAGCAUUUUACGAGGUGCUGCAUGGUUGUCGUCAGCUCGUGCCGUGAGGUGUCGGGUUAAGUCCCAUAACGAGCGCAACCCCUACCUUUAGUUGCCAUCAGGUAAUGCUGGGGACUCUAAAGGAACUGCCUACGCAAGUAGUGAGGAAGGCGGGGAUGACGUCAAAUCAGCACGGCCCUUACGUCCAGGGCUACACACGUGCUACAAUGGCCGAUACAGAGGGCAGCUACCUGGUGACAGGAUGCAAAUCUCCAAAGUCGGUCUCAGUUCGGAUCGGAGUCUGCAACCCGACUCCGUGAAGUUGGAUUCGCUAGUAAUCGCGCGUCAGCCAUGGCGCGGUGAAUACGUUCCCGGGCCUU